rnacentral:rRNA from 1 species
GUGAGUAGUUCAGAGUUUGAUCCUGGCUCAGGACGAACGCUGGCGGCGUGCUUAACACAUGCAAGUCGAACGGGGAGUCAUUGAACGGAAGGCUUCGGCUGGAAGAUUGAUGAUUCCAGUGGCGGACGGGUGAGUAACGCGUGAGCAACCUGUCCCAGACAGGGGAUAACACUUGGAAACAGGUGCUAAUACCGCAUAAAACCGUAGUACCGCAUGGUACAUCGGUCAAAGAUUUAUUGCUGAGAGAUGGCCUCGCGUCUGAUUAGCUAGUUGGUAGGGUAACGGCCUACCAAGGCGACGAUCAGUAGCCGGACUGAGAGGUUGACCGGCCACAUUGGGACUGAGAUACGGCCCAG